rnacentral:rRNA from 1 species
UCGGGAAUUUUGGGCAAUGGGGGAAACCCUGACCCAGCAACGCCGCGUGAAGGAUGAAGUAUUUCGGUAUGUAAACUUCGAAAGAAUAGGAAGAAUAAAUGACGGUACUAUUUAUAAGGUCCGGCUAACUACGUGCCAGCAGCCGCGGUAAUACGUAGGGACCAAGCGUUGUUCGGAUUUACUGGGCGUAAAGGGCGCGUAGGCGGCAUGACAAGUCACUUGUGAAAUCUCUGGGCUUAACCCAGAACGGCCAAGUGAUACUGUCGCGCUAGAGUGCAGAAGGGGCAAUCGGAAUUCUUGGUGUAGCGGUGAAAUGCGUAGAUAUCAAGAGGAACACCUGAGGUGAAGACGGGUUGCUGGGCUGACACUGACGCUGAGGCGCGAAAGCCAGGGGGAGCAAA